ACACCGCCCGUCACACCAUGGGAGUGGGUUGCAAAAGAAGUAGGUAGCUUAACCUUCGGGAGGGCGCUUACCACUUUGUGAUUCAUGACUGGGGGGAAGUCGUAACAAGGUAACCGUAGGGGAACCUGCGGUUGGAUCACCUCCUUACCUUAAAGAA
rnacentral:rRNA from 1 species